GGUAGGCUCUGAAUUCAAUAUGGAGGACGUCCAUCACCUAAGUCUUGGCGGUGAGGAGUGGCCUCUCUCCAGAUUAUGACUUUAUGCCCUUUCACUUGGCAAGGAGUCAUCCCCAAAGCAGUGUGUGUGACCUGGGCAUGUGAGGAAGGCAACAGGAUCAUAGACCUGAGAUAACUGAAGAAGGAAAGGGGUCCUUCAAGACGCAGUGUUUCUUGACUGGAGCGCAUUUCCCACAUGAUAAAAUUAAAGGUCUAAUUAAUGCCUUUAAGGACAUUGGUGCACAAUUCAGCACCUAAUUUUCUGCAGGGGGCAUAUUUAGGUGUUUAACUAGGUGGAACUCUGUGCCAAAGAUUUCAUUUGCAUACAGAGUCCCUCAUUUUUUUUUUCUUUGUAAACACUCUUCAAUUCAGAAACAAAGAAUGCAUUCAUGUUACUUGGUAUGCACUUUGCCAGCAAGCAGAGGAGUAUAGAAAAUAAAUAUAUCUAAGCCACAUUUCAUCAGAGCAGAAACAAAAAUCCUAUUAGAUGAGGUGUUGAAAUAUGAGAUCCAUUUCUUUGGAGCAGCGAGGAUAAUACUCAGCAUUUUAAAAUGGAGGAGAGACCUGCAGAAGCACUGCAUGAAAAACGAAUGCUUUGAAAUAUCACAUCUGAGAUGCAGAGGAUCUUAAGAAAAAUAUGACACCACAUCAAGCACGAAAAAGAAAGCUAAAUCACCACCAGGCAACUGCUGGCAGAGAGAAGGCCAGGAAACAAAAACUCAUUGAUCUACCUUAAGGCUGCAAGGACCAGAAAAGGGGCCGUCUAUCUAAAGGCUGAGACAAUGUUUCUAAUCCCAUUUCACUUCCAGUCUACUUUGAAUCAUAAACAUUGUGGAUGCUAAUGUUAAUACUAAUAAAAUGUUUACUUAAUUGUUAGCAUAGAAAUCUAUUAAAAUUGCAUUUCACCC